UUCCUCUCAGGAUGGGAGGUAAAGCCUGCUCACUGAAUUUUAAAGAGCCGCAGUAUUUUGASUGUGCUAAGGURGCAUAAUCAUUAGUCUUUUAAUUGGAGACUGGUAUGAAUGGUUAAACGAGAAAUCAACUUUUUUUAUCAUAAAAAUUGAAUUUAUUUUUUUAGUGAAAAAACUAAAAUAGACUAAAAAGACGAGAAGACCCUAUAGAGUUUUAUACAGUAAAAUAUUUUAUUUUAUUAGAUCUAAAUAAAAGUAAAUUUUGUAUCUGUAAUUUGUUGGGGCGACAUUAAGAUAAAUGAAACUCUUUUUUAUAGUAACCUUUAUAAAGGUAUAAUUUGAUCCUCUAUAAGAGAUCACAAGAAAAAAUUACCUUAGGGAUAACAGCGUAAUCUUUUUUGAGAGUUCUAAUCGACAAAAAGGUUUGCGACCUCGAYGUUGGACUAAAAUUUAGGCGUGGUGCAGUAGCUUCGCUUUAGGGUCUGUUCGACCCGUAAUAUUUUACAUGAUCU
rnacentral:rRNA from 1 species